UGUAUAUCUAUCGACUCUGGUCCGAAUCUGAUGAGUGGAUCAGGACCAAUCAGAAGAACACAUUCGCAUCUUACUCUCACACCAUCUGUUGAAGCUUUUAGUCAAUAGAGAGGUUACGGCGUAAGUUCAAACGUUACUUGUACACAAGUAACGUUUGAAUUUGCGCGAAGUACACGGUUUACGUUUUAACUACACCAAAAAGUCGUUGCGGCGCGCGUUCACAACAUCACAUGACUCAGUGAACGUCGCGCAUUGACUCACGGGAAAUUUGUUCAAUUUGUUCUGGUAACCCUCAUUUAACAUCGAGGGUUACCAGCGAAGCGUGGUGUCUCCUACCGUACAAUCGGACUACCUGAUACUUUUGUCGAGGGAAGUAGUGGCUUAUGUAAAUUCGAAAGCAGCUCGAAAAAUUAGAGAAGUUGAGGCGCAAGUUCAAAAGUUAAACGAGUACGGCAAGCAGAAGUACACGUUUCAAGUCCAAGUAAAAAUAGUUGAGGCAUCCGUUCAUAACAUCACGUGACUCAGUGGACGCCGCGUAUUGACUCACGGGAAAUAAGUUGAAAAAAAUGGCGGAAACAUUUUGCACGGAGGAUUACCAGGGAAGGUAGCCAAGAUGGCCGCGCUUCCUGUAGCCUCGGAUAAGGUCGCUAGGCACAGUCGGCGCUUUUUAGAUGCAUUUGCAACAGAUUAAUUAUGCAAAUUAUUAUCGGAC